rnacentral:rRNA from 1 species
AGGAAUAUUGGUCAAUGGGCGAGAGCCUGAACCAGCCAAGUAGCGUGAAGGAUGAAGGUCCUACGGAUUGUAAACUUCUUUUAUACGGGAAUAAAGUAUCCUACGUGUAGGAUUUUGUAUGUACCGUAUGAAUAAGCAUCGGCUAACUCCGUGCCAGCAGCCGCGGUAAUACGGAGGAUGCGAGCGUUAUCCGGAUUUAUUGGGUUUAAAGGGAGCGCAGACGGGAGAUUAAGUCAGUUGUGAAAGUUUGCGGCUCAACCGUAAAAUUGCAGUUGAUACUGGUUUCCUUGAGUGCAGUUGAGGCAGGCGGAAUUCGUGGUGUAGCGGUGAAAUGCUUAGAUAUCACGAAGAACCCCGAUUGCGAAGGCAGCUUGCUAAACUGUAACUGACGUUCAUGCUCGAAAGUGUGGGUAUCAAACAGGAUUAGAUACCCUGGUAGUCCACACGGUAAACGAUGGAUACUCGCUGUUGGCGAUAUACUGUCAGCGGCCAAGCGAAAGCAUUAAGUAUCCCACCUGGGGAGUACGCCGGCAACGGUGAAACUCAAAGGAAUUGACGGGGGCCCGCACAAGCGGAGGAACAUGUGGUUUAAUUCGAUGAUACGCGAGGAACCUUACCCGGGCUUAAAUUGCAGACGAAUUACGAGGAAACUUGUAAGCCGCAAGGCGUCUGUGAAGGUGCUGCAUGGUUGUCGUCAGCCCGUGCCGUGAGGUGUCGGCUUAAGUGCCAUAACGAGCGCAACCCUCGUGGUCAGUUACUAACAGGUUAAGCUGAGGACUCUGGCCAGACUGCCAUCGUAAGAUGUGAGGAAGGUGGGGAUGACGUCAAAUCAGCACGGCCCUUACGUCCGGGGCUACACACGUGUUACAAUGGGAGGUACAGAAGGCAGCUACCCGGCGACGGGAUGCCAAUCCCCAAAACCUCUCUCAGUUCGGACUGGAGUCUGCAACCCGACUCCACGAAGCUGGAUUCGCUAGUAAUCGCGCAUCAGCCACGGCGCGGUGAAUACGUUCCCG